ACUCACCAAACUGACAACAAAGAACCAAAAGAUGCACUUGAACAUUCUGCAAAGACGACACACGACAGCCAACUAGCCUGUACGUUCUGCGCCUGCAUCAGAGGAAAUACCUCUCCAUACCAUCAGGUAACAGUAGUUUGUUGUCGUCAUGCAAAGAGGGAAGACUCUGGACUGAGGUUAAAAAUCUGUUGUUAUCAUACAGUAUUGUUUUCUGACACCACUCCCGCUAACAGUGCCACUUUUAAUCAAGAAUAUGUCUGAUCAAAAGCUGCAAGUUGAAGAGAAAAAGACAGCUGCAUGGACGAUUCUACAGACUCAGUCGGACAAAAAGCCGCCAACAAGUGCUUGAUGUGCAGCACAGUACUGAUUGUUCUGUGCAUUAAUGGGGGCCUGGUGAACCAUUUCAGUCAGCCGGAGCUCCCAUGCUGCUCCGAGGUGGAUUUCGGAAGGACCACGGCUCCCUCUAGUGGCCGAGGUCAGAAGAGCGAGACCAGAAACCGAUGCCAAAACUGUGCACUUGAAACACAGGCUGGAGUCAAGGUUAUGAUAGAGGCGGGUUAUUUCGCUGAAACAAAAAGACACACCUUUUUUUUUUUUUUUGGAGUAGAUCAAAUCAACCAGGGGAGUCCUGCAGUCUGCUCUGCAGAAGCGAGCCACCAACAAACAGUUCCCACAGCAACAAAGCAGGAUAGACUUUUGAAAUAUUGUGUUCCUAAUUAA
rnacentral:lncRNA from 1 species